rnacentral:lncRNA from 1 species
AUGAAGGCCGGGUCCAUGGGCAGCACCAAGGCCAGAGGCAUGCAGGGGGCUCCGGUGGGUACUGGUGAGCCGCUGUCUUCCCCUGGAGACCCGAGCUCGGCAGCUGGCCCCUCCGGGACAAGGGAUGGAGUGCGCAGCCCAUCAACAAGUGCACAGGGGUCUUCGCCGAGCCUUUCCCGAGACCUCAGGGUCCAAGCGCGGGCCUGCGGCUGGUCACUCAGCAGCACCGCCUGGGGCUCCCGGUUGGAGACGCCACCCGGCCGAGAGGCAGAGCCUGGCUCUGUGCAGCCUUGGGCGCGGUCCUCUAACCCGUCUGAGCCUCCGUUUCCUCCUCGCUACAACGGGGACGCCGCGGCCGCCCUGCAGGGGAGUUACGGGAUGGGUGAGGCCGCCUGGGGCUCAGCUGGCGCCUCCGUGGGACGCGCGAACACGCGCUGUCAUCACAUCUCAGAUGAGGUCGUCCCCGGGUUUCCUGCUGGGACGUCCGCUCGUGCCUCCAGGUUUUCAGCGGCUGGAGUGGUGAGCAGUGACGAAGAUGCUGAAAAGCCGGACGAUCACGGGCUCCGAAGCCCCCUGCCGCCCCUGGUUAAACCCAGUCAUCGCUUCCGGCCCGGGAGGUGCUCGUCCAGGGCCCGGCUGGAUGCGACUAGAUGGAGCCGGGUCGGCGUGCGCCCCCGGAGCCCGGCGGUCCUGGUUUGGGGGCCGAGCCUGCGGCAGCCCCCUCCGAUGCCCUGGCCCUCGCUCUGGCGGCCGCCCUCUGCCCUCUCUUAUUUCGGGGCACGGCUCCAGGCUGUGGCGGACCGAGCAGAUGACAGGCUGUCUGGGUUGCUCUCGCGAGAGGACCCUCGCGGGGGCGGCGCCAGCGGCUUCUGGCCACGUUGGGCGGAGAUGCGAGGCGGAAGGCGGAAGAGCCUGUGCUCGGGAGACGGCCACGUGAUCGCGCGCCCGCAGCGCCGAUUGGCCGGACGCUCCCGGGCCACGCCCCAGGGGCGGAGCCUUCGCUGUCCGGCGCCGGCGCUGUCGCGGGGAAAGAAGAGUCCUCGGGCGCCCUUGGGAGCCGCCCCGGUGGGCGUGUUGCUGUCCAGAGUUUCACUCCCAAGGCUUUCUGGAGAGGGAGCAUGGUAG